UACGUAGGGGGCAAGCGUUGUCCGGAUUUAUUGGGCGUAAAGAGCGUGUAGGCGGCCGUACAGGUCAGCUGUGAAAACUCGAGGCUCAACCUCGAGACGUCGGUUGAAACCGUACGGCUAGAGUCCGGAAGAGGAGAGUGGAAUUCCCGGUGUAGCGGUGAAAUGCGCAGAUAUCAGGAGGAACACCUGUGGUGUAGACAGCUUACUGGACCAUUUCUGACGCUGAGACACGAAAGCGUGGGUAGCAAACAGG
rnacentral:rRNA from 1 species